rnacentral:siRNA from 1 species
AGGAGUGAUUUUAACUAGACAAGU